GAUGAACGCUGGCGGCGUGCCUAAUACAUGCAAGUCGAGCGAACAGACGAGGAGCUUGCUCCUCUGACGUUAGCGGCGGACGGGUGAGUAACACGUGGAUAACCUACCUAUAAGACUGGGAUAACUUCGGGAAACCGGAGCUAAUACCGGAUAAUAUAUUUAACCGCAUGGUUCAAUAGUGAAAGACGGAUUUGCUGUACCUUAUAGAUGGAUCCGCGCCGCAUUAGCUAUUUGGUAAGGUAACGGCUUACCAAGGCAACGAUGCGUAGCCGACCUGAGAGGGUGAUCGGCCACACUGGAACUGAGACACGGUCCAGACUCCUACGGGAGGCAGCAGUAGGGAAUCUUCCGCAAUGGGCGAAAGCCUGACGGAGCAACGCCGCGUGAGUGAUGAAGGUCUUCGGAUCGUAAAACUCUGUUAUUAGGGAAGAACAAAUGUGUAAGUAACUAUGCACGUCUUGACGGUACCUAAUCAGAAAGCCACGGCUAACUACGUG
rnacentral:rRNA from 1 species